AGGGAGAGGCUGGCAGGGAGGAUACAGAGAAAGGGAGGAGAGGGAGAACAUAUGGGCAGAGAGAGAUUAGCAGGGAGAAGAUGGAGACUUUGCCAGGGUAGAAUGUGUGUGUGUGUGUGUGUGUGUGUGUGUGUGAAGCUUAUAGUUGGACAGUAUUGGGAUGAGAGUGAAGGUGCUGGUUAACUCUUGCAUAAGGGAUUUGGACAGUACAGGGAUGAAAGAGUGAAGAUGCUGGUUAACUCUUGCAUAAGGGAUUUGGACAGUACAGGGAUGAAAGAGUGAAGAUGCUGGUUAACUCUUGCAUAAGGGAUUUGGACAGUAUAGGGAUGAAAGAGUGAAGAUGCUGGUUAACUCUUGCAUAAGGGAUUUGGACAGUACAGGGAUGAAAGAGUGAAGAUGCUGGUUAACUCUUGCAUGAGGGAUUUGGACAGUACAGGGAUGAAAGAGUGAAGAUGCUGGUUAACUCUUGCAUGAGGGAUUUGGACAGUACAGGGAUGAAAGAGUGAAGAUGCUGGUUAACUCUUGCAUAAGGGAUUUGGACAGUACAGGGAUGAAAGAGUGAAGAUGCUGGUUAACUCUUGCAUAAGGGAUUUGGACAGUAUAGGGAUGAAGGAGUGAAGAUGCUGGUUAACUCUUGCAUAAGGGAUUUGGACAGUACAGGGAUGAAAGAGUGAAGAUGCUGGUUAACUCUUGCAUUAGGGAUUUGGACAGUACAGGGAUGAAAGAGUGAAGAUGCUGGUUAACUCUUGCAUGAGGGAUUUGGACAGUACAGGGAUGAAAGAGUGAAGAUGCUGGUUAACUCUUGCAUGAGGGAUUUGGACAGUAUAGGGAUGAAAGAGUGAAGAUGCUGGUUAACUCUUGCAUGAGGGAUUUGGACAGUACAGGGAUG